GUAGUUAGCCGGGGCUUCCUUCUCAUUUACCGUCUCUUGCUCUUCAACAAGGACAGAGGUUUACGAUCCGAAGACCUUCUUCCCUCACGCGGCGUUGCUGGGUCAGGGUUUCCCCCAUUGCCCAAUAUUCCCCACUGCUGCCUCCCGUAGGAGUCUGGACCGUUUCUCAGUUCCAAUGUGGCCGGUCAUCCUCUCAGAUCGGCUACCCAUCGUUGACUUGGUGGGCCGUUACCUCACCAACUAUCUAAUGGGACGCGAGCUCACCCUUGUGCGGAUUUCUCCUUUUACCUCGAUACCAUGUGGUAUCGUGGUCUCGUGCGGUAUUAGCAACUGUUUCCAGUUGUUAUCCCCCUCACAAGGACAGAUUGCUCACGCGUUACGCACCCGUCCGCCACUAAGCUUACUUCGAUUGCUCUCUAUAAGCUCCGUUCGACUUGCAUGUGUUAAGCACGCCGCCAGCGUUCGUCCUGAGCACGANACAACUACUGA
rnacentral:rRNA from 1 species